CAUGGUUUUGACCCAACCAACAAAUCCGGCAAUAUAGCUCAAUGGAACCCCAGAAAUCUCAAACACAGUAGCUUACAUGGCAAGGACUCGACAAAAGAACAGCCCCAAUAAAGCAGAAAGACGGUGAAUCCAGGGCUUAGAAGCACUUCCGGUGAACAAUUGCUGGGCCUGACUCAUCAUACUCACCCUUCGAGAUCCACAUCUGCCAUAUAAACAUCAGAGCAUACUGUUAGUAUACUGACAAAAAUAAAGCAUAGUGCAACUACUGCAACAUAGGAAAAUCUGAUAGUUGAGCAACAGAGAAGUGUAAAUCUUGACCUGUUGGAAGGUGCUAAGGGAGGCAAGGAUGGACCCUCCAAUCCAGACACUGUAUUUCCUCUCAGGUGGUGCCACCACCUUAAUCUUCAUACUGCUUGGUGCAAGGGCAGUGAUCUCCUUGCUCAUGCGGUCAGCAAUACCAGGGAACAUGGUUGAGCCACCGCUGAGCACAAUGUUACCAUAGAGGUCCUUCCUAAUAUCCACAUCACACUUCAUGAUAGAGUUGUAGGUGGUCUCAUGGAUUCCAGGCGACUCCAUACCAAUGAAUGAAGGCUGGAAAAGGACCUCAGGGCAUCUGAACCUCUCUGCCCCGAUGGUGAUCACCUGCCCAUCAGGCAGCUCAUAGCUCUUCUCCACAGAGGAGCUGGUCUUAGCAGUCUCAAGCUCCUGCUCAUAGUCAAGUGCCACAUAGGCGAGCUUCUCCUUGAUGUCCCUUACAAUUUCCCGCUCGGCAGUGGUGGUGAAGGAGUAACCCCUCUCAGUAAGAAUCUUCAUCAGACUGUCAGUGAGAUCACGUCCAGCAAGGUCAAGACGGAGAAUGGCGUGCGGAAGGGCAUAACCUUCAUAGAUUGGCACGGUAUGGCUCACACCAUCACCAGAGUCC
rnacentral:lncRNA from 1 species